rnacentral:lncRNA from 1 species
ACCCAAGCUAAUGUAGAAGUUGUUCGGAGAACUUAUUCAGUUGGAAUUACAAUGCAAUUCGAUCCUUCUCUAAAACAAUACUCUCAAUUACAUCACUAAGGUAUGGAUAUAAUAUGUCAAACCCCCAAUGUGAUUAUUCCAUGUUAUAUGAUUCAAUUGAGUCGUAUAGGAACGCUUUCCUUUAUUACGCUCGAUACUUCGGCCGAAGAUUCCCGAAUCAUAUCUUAGAGUAUUCAUCCUCUCAUAACAAGGAUUGGAGAUUCCUUGUUGAACAUUCACUUGCCUUCAUGACUAAGUGGCUUAACCCUGACUAUGCCGUGGACACCCGCGGAUGGAGUGACUUUGACAUAAUCAAAGAUCAAGUACUUAACCA